UACGUAGGUGGCAAGCGUUGUCCGGAUUUACUGGGUGUAAAGGGCGUGUAGCCGGGAAGGCAAGUCAGAUGUGAAAUCUGGAGGCUCAACCUCCAAACUGCAUUUGAAACUGCUUUUCUUGAGUAUCGGAGAGGUCAUCGGAAUUCCUUGUGUAGCGGUGAAAUGCGUAGAUAUAAGGAGGAACACCAGUGGCGAAGGCGGAUGACUGGACGACAACUGACGGUGAGGCGCGAAAGCGUGGGGAGCAAACAGG
rnacentral:rRNA from 1 species